rnacentral:rRNA from 1 species
GACGAACGCUGGCGGCGUGCUUAACACAUGCAAGUCGAACGGAAAGGCCCUGCUUUUGUGGGGUGCUCGAGUGGCGAACGGGUGAGUAACACGUGAGUAACCUGCCCUUGACUUUGGGAUAACUUCAGGAAACUGGGGCUAAUACCGGAUAGGAGCUCCUGCUGCAUGGUGGGGGUUGGAAAGUUUCGGCGGUUGGGGAUGGACUCGCGGCUUAUCAGCUUGUUGGUGGGGUAGUGGCUUACCAAGGCUUUGACGGGUAGCCGGCCUGAGAGGGUGACCGGCCACAUUGGGACUGAGAUACGGCCCAGACUCCUACGGGAGGCAGCAGUGGGGAAUAUUGCACAAUGGGCGGAAGCCUGAUGCAGCAACGCCGCGUGCGGGAUGACGGCCUUCGGGUUGUAAACCGCUUUCGCCUGUGACAAAGCGUGAGUGACGGUAAUGGGUAAAGAAGCACCGGCUAACUACGCG